UAGGGAAUCUUCCGCAAUGGGCGAAAGCCUGACGGAGCAACGCCGCGUGAGUGAUGAAGGCCUUCGGAUCGUAAAACUCUGUUAUUAGGGAAGAACAAAUGUGUAAGUAACUAUGCACGUCUUGACGGUACCUAAUCAGAAAGCCACGGCUAACUACGUGCCAGCAGCCGCGGUAAUACGUAGGUGGCAAGCGUUAUCCGGAAUUAUUGGGCGUAAAGCGAGCGUAGGCGGUUUUUUAAGUCUGGUGUGAAAGCCCACGGCUCAACCGUGGAGGGUCAUUGGAAACUGGAAAACUUGAGUGCAGAAGAGGAAAGUGGAAUUCCAUGUGUAGCGGUGAAAUGCGCAGAGAUAUGGAGAAACACCAGUGGCGAAGGCGACUGUCUAGUCUGUAACUGACACUGAUGUGCGAAAGCGUGGGGAUCAAACAGG
rnacentral:rRNA from 1 species